CCUACGGGAGGCUGCAGUGGGGGAUAUUGCUCAAUGGGGGGAACCCUGAUGCAGCGACGCCGCGUGGGUGAAGAAGCGCCUCGGCGCGUAAAGCCCUGUCAGCAGGGAAGAAAAUGACGGUACCCGUAGAAGAAGCCCCGGCUAACUACGUGCCAGCAGCCGCGGUUAUACGGCGGCGGCAAGCGUUAUCCGGAUUUACUGGGUGUAAAGGGGGCGCAGUCGGCGAUGCAAGCCAGGAGUGAAAGCCCGGGGCCCAACCCCGGGACUGCUCUUGAAACUGCGUGGCUGGAGUGCAGUAGGGGCAGGCGGAAUUCCUGGUGUAGCGGUGAAAUGCGUAGAUAUCAGGAGGAACACCGGUGGCGAAGGCGGCCUGCUAGACUGCAACUGACGUUGAGGCCCGAAAGCGUGGGGAGCAAACAGGAUUAGAUACCCCUGUAGUC
rnacentral:rRNA from 1 species